rnacentral:rRNA from 1 species
ACGCUAUUUAUUUAAUGCUAAUAGUGGAUGCCUAGGAAGUGUUGACCGAAGAAGGACGCAUAUGGCUUGCGAAAAGCACCGGGGAAUGGCCUAAUACAUUAUGAUCCGGUGGUGUCCGAAUGGGGAAACCCACGUAUUUAUACGUAGCUUAUUGUAAAGUUAGGAGCCGCAAGGCUUUUAUAUAGUAAUAAGCGGGGUACCGGACCAACUGAAACAUCUAAGUAGUCCGAGGAAAAGAAAUCACAGAGAUUCCGUCAGUAGCGGUGAGCGAAAGCGGAUCAGCUCAAACCAUAUAGCAAUAUAUGGGGUUGUAGGAGAACUUGCUUAAAUGCAAAAGAAGUCAAAAAAGAAAAUUGUAGAAGAACACGUUGGAAAGCGUGACCAAAGAGGGUGACAGUCCUGUAUUCGAAACGAUUUUCUCUUCUUGUUAAUUCCUGAGUACCAUGGGGUACGAUUAAACCCUGUGGGAAUCUGGGGCGACCACGCUCCAAAGCUAAACAUCAACAUUUACCGAUAGUGAACUAGUACCGCGAGGGAAAGGUGAAAAGCACCCCGGGAGGGGGAUGAAAGAGUACCUGAAACUAUUAGCUGACAAGCAGACGAAGUGCGAUUUAUCGUAUGACGUCGUGCCUAUUGAAGAAUGAGCCGGUGAGUUUUUGUAUUGCGCUUUGUUUAAGGGCAAUUUUGUCCGGAGACGUAGUGAAAGCAAUCCCUAACUGGGAUAUCUUGCGCAUUGCAAAAGACCCGAAACCAGGUGAGCUAACCAUGAACAGGGUGAACCCCGAUGAAAAUCGGGGGAAGGCCCGAACUCGUGAUCGCAGCAAUGAUCUGAGACGAUUUGUGGUUAGGGGUGACAUACUAAACGAACCUGGAGAUAGCUGGUUCUCCCCGAAAUAUAUUUUGGUAUAGCCUUAUGAAUGUUUACAGGGGGUAGAGCACUGAAUGGUCUCUGGAGGAGCAAUCUUUCAGGAUCAAUCAAACUCCGAAUACCGUGUAAACUUAAGAAAGAGUCAGACUUGCGGGGCUAAGCUCGUGGGUC